rnacentral:sRNA from 1 species
GCUGUCGCAAAUUCGGCAGCCAGGAUUGGCGUCCUGAUAUCGAAGGCGGACACACCGCCACUGAGCGGUUUUUUU